rnacentral:rRNA from 1 species
UACGUAGGUGGCAAGCGUUAUCCGGAUUUAUUGGGCGUAAAGCGAGCGCAGGCGGUUGCUUAGGUCUGAUGUGAAAGCCUUCGGCUUAACCGAAGAAGUGCAUCGGAAACCGGGCGACUUGAGUGCAGAAGAGGACAGUGGAACUCCAUGUGUAGCGGUGGAAUGCGUAGAUAUAUGGAGGAACACCAGUGGCGAAGGCGGCUGUCUGGUCUGCAACUGACGCUGAGGUUCGAAAGCAUGGGUAGCGAACAGG